CAGCAGCCGCCACGGUAAUACGAAGGGUGCAAGCGUUAAUCGGAAUUACUGGGCGUAAAGCGUGCGUAGGCGGUUUGUUAAGUCUGUUGUGAAAUCCCCGGGCUCAACCUGGGAAUGGCAAUGGAUACUGGCAAGCUAGAGUGUGUCAGAGGAUGGUGGAAUUCCCGGUGUAGCGGUGAAAUGCGUAGAGAUCGGGAGGAACAUCAGUGGCGAAGGCGGCCAUCUGGGACAACACUGACGCUGAGGCACGAAAGCGUGGGGAGCAAACAGGAUUAGAUACCCCCGUAGUCCCUGUCUCUUAUAA
rnacentral:rRNA from 1 species